rnacentral:rRNA from 1 species
AUACGGGGGGUGCGAGCGUUAAUCGGAAUUACUGGGCGUAAAGCGUGCGUAGGCGGCGCAAUCAGUCAGCCGUGAAAGCCCCGGGCUUAACCUGGGAAUAGCGGUUGAGACGGUUGGGCUAGAGUGGGCUAGAGGAUCGUGGAACUCCCGGUGUAGCGGUGAAAUGCGUAGAGAUCGGGAAGAACACCGAUGGCGAAGGCAGCGGUCUGGGGCCACACUGACGCUGAGGCACGACGGCGUGGGGAGCAAACAGGAUUAGAUACCCUGGUAGUCCACGCAGUAAACGAUGAACACUAGACGCCGGGGGGGUGACUUUUCGGUGUCGUAGCUCACGCGCUAAGUGUUCCGCCUGGGGAGUACGGCCGCAAGGUUGAA